CUGAACAUUGUAAGCUACACAAAUGUACGUUUUUAAGGGGUGUAUGAAUUGCAUUGUAUCUAGAUUGUGUUCCUGUUAUUAUACACACCACCUGAGUGUUUAAAGCCUACAUGUGUCUACAGUAAUUAUAGCUUUCUACCUCCCCUUCUAAAAUGGAUCAGAGGGACAUUUAGGGGCCUUUCAGAAUCUUGACCUGACUACACACUGAACUCAUACUGUAUAUAUUUCAGCAUUUUUAUUUUCAAAAAAUGUCUAAAAAUUCAGUACAUGGUAAAAAGAAAUCGCACUUUAAAAGAAAUAUUUAUCGAUCUCACUGGAGCCCAAACUCAGCUUGAAACAAAUACAACAACAAUGAAACAGCUUUUCAGGAUCAACCUAACACAAAAUAUGAAAAGAAACUCACAUUUGCAGAAAAA